rnacentral:rRNA from 1 species
GACGAACGCUGGCGGCGUGCUUAACACAUGCAAGUCGAACGGUGAACCUGCUUAGGUGGUGGUUCAGUGGCGAACGGGUGGGUAACACGUUGGUAACCUGCCCUCAGCUCUGGGAUAACUCCAAGAAAUUGGGGCUAAUACUGGAUAUGACCGCUGACCGCAUGGUCUGGAGGUGGAAAGAUUUAUCGGCUGGGGAUGGGCCCGCGGCCUAGCAGCCUGUUGGUGGGGUAGUGGCCUACCAAGGCGACGACGGGUAGCCGGCCUGAGAGGGUGACCGGCCACACUGGGACUGAGACACGGCCCAGACUCCUACGGGAGGCAGCAGUGGGGAAUAUUGCGCGAUGGGCGCAAGCCUGACGCAGCGACGCCGCGUGGGGGAUGACGGCCUUCGGGUUGUAAACCUCUUUCAGCAGGGACGAAGAGAAAGUGACGGUACCUGAAGAAGAAGCACCGGCCAACUACGUG